CCUACGGGUGGCUGCAGUAGGGAAUAUUGCUCAAUGGGGGAAACCCUGAAGCAGCAACGCCGCGUGGAGGAUGAAGGUUUUCGGAUUGUAAACUACUUUUGUCAGAGAAGAUAAUGACGGUAUCUAACGAAUAAGCACUGGCCAACUCCGUGCCAGCAGCCGCGGUAAUACGGAGGGUGCAAGCGGUACUCGGAAUCACUGGGCGUAAAGAGCGCGUAGGCGGGAUAGCAAGUCAGACGUGAAAUCCCAGGGCUUAACCAUAGAACUGCAUUUGAAACUGUUAUUCUAGAGUAUGGGAGAGGUAGGUAGAAUUCUUGGUGUAGGGGUAAAAUCCGUAGAGAUCAAGAGGAAUACUCGUUGCGAAGGCGACCUUCUGGAACAUAACUGACGCUGAUGUGCGAAAGCGUGGGGAGCAAACAGGAUUAGAUACCCUAGUAGUC
rnacentral:rRNA from 1 species